GAACUAUGAACAAGUGGCGUAUCGCUCGGUUCUCUUUCUGUUUCUUUCUUUUGCAACGUCAUCUUCAGUAAUUACGACGAUGUGUAUGUGUGUAUGGGCUAACCGAUUCAACAGACGAAUGCAUGCGCACAUCUUCUUCGGCUUUGCUA
ensembl:ncRNA F59F5.10 ncRNA